AGUGAACGCUGGCGGUAUGCCUAACACAUGCAAGUCGAACGGCAGCACAGUAAUAGCUUGCUCUUACGGGUGGCGAGUGGCGGACGGGUGAGGAAUACAUCGGAAUCUACUUUUUCGUGGGGGAUAACGUAGGGAAACUUACGCUAAUACCGCAUACGACCUACGGGUGAAAGCAGGGGAUCUUCGGACCUUGCGCGAUUGAAUGAGCCGAUGUCGGAUUAGCUAGUUGGCGGGGUAAAGGCCCACCAAGGCGACGAUCCGUAGCUGGUCUGAGAGGAUGAUCAGCCACACUGGAACUGAGACACGGUCCAGACUCCUACGGGAGGCAGCAGUGGGGAAUAUUGGACAAUGGGCGCAAGCCUGAUCCAGCCAUACCGCGUGGGUGAAGAAGGCCUUCGGGUUGUAAAGCCCUUUUGUUGGGAAAGAAAAGCAGCAGGUUAAUACCCCGCUGUUAUGACGGUACCCAAAGAAUAAGCACCGGCUAACUUCGUG
rnacentral:rRNA from 1 species